rnacentral:rRNA from 1 species
UUGAACGCUGGCGGCAGGCCUAACACAUGCAAGUCGCACGGUAACAGGAAGAAGCUUGCUUCUUUGCUGACGAGUGGCGGACGGGUGAGUAAUGUCUGGGAAACUGCCUGAUGGAGGGGGAUAACUACUGGAAACGGUAGCUAAUACCGCAUAAUGUCGCAAGACCAAAGAGGGGGACCUUCGGGCCUCUUGCCAUCGGAUGUGCCCAGAUGGGAUUAGCUAGUAGGUGGGGUAACGGCUCACCUAGGCGACGAUCCCUAGCUGGUCUGAGAGGAUGACCAGCCACACUGGAACUGAGACACGGUCCAGACUCCUACGGGAGGCAGCAGUGGGGAAUAUUGCACAAUGGGCGCAAGCCUGAUGCAGCUAUGCCGCGUGUAUGAAGAAGGCCUUCGGGUUGUAAAGUACUUUCAGCGGGGAGGAAGGGAGUAAAGUUAAUACCUUUGCUCAUUGACGUUACCCGCAGAAGAAGCACCGGCUAACUCCGUG